rnacentral:rRNA from 1 species
GUUAAAAAGCUCGUAGUUGGAUUUCUGUUGAGUUCGGGCGGUGUACACCUCGUGUAUUAUUUGCUUCGGUCUCGGCAUCCUCUUGGGGAACGUUUCGUACUUUAUUGGACGAGCGGGAUUCAAGACUUUUACUUUGAGGAAAUUAGAGUGUUCACGGCAGGCAAGUGCUUUGAAUACAUUAGCAUGGAAUAAUAAUAUAGGACCUUCGUUCUAUUUUGUUGGUUUCUAGAACUUAGGUAAUGAUUAAUAGGGACAAUUGGGGGCAUUCGUAUUAACGCGUCAGAGGUGGAAUUCUUGGAUUGCGUUACGACGAACUACUGCGAAAGCAUUUGCCAAAGAUGUUUUCAUUGAUCAAGAACGAAAGUAUGGGGAUCGAAGACGCUUAGAUACCGUCGUAGUCUAUACCAUAAACUAUGCCAACUAGAGAUCGGAGGGGUUAUCCUAUGUGGCUCCUUCGGCAUCUUAUGAGAAAUCAAAGUUUUUGGGUUCCGGGGGGAGUAUGGUCGCAAGGCUGAAACUUAAAAGGAAUUGACGGAAGGGCACCACCAGGAGUGGAGCCUGCGGCUUAAUUUGACUCAACACGGGAAAACUCACCAGGUCCAGACAUAGUAAGGAUUGACAGAUUGAUAGCUCU